ACAUACUAAGAACUUUCCAGAGAUGGAUUGGUGCCUUCGGGAACUUAGAUACAGGUGCUGCAUGGCUGUCGUCAGCUCGUGUCGUGAGAUGUUGGGUUAAGUCCCGNAACGAGCGCAACCCUUUUCCUUAUUUGCCAGCGGGUCAUGCCGGGAACUUUAAGGAUACUGCCAGUGACAAACUGGAGGAAGGCGGGGACGACGUCAAGUCAUCAUGGCCCUUACGGCCAGGGCUACACACGUGCUACAAUGGUCGGUACAAAGGGUUGCUACCUCGCGAGAGGAUGCUAAUCUCAAAAAGCCGAUCGUAGUCCGGAUCGCAGUCUGCAACUCGACUGCGUGAAGUCGGAAUCGCUAGUAAUCGCGGAUCAGAAUGCCGCGGUGAAUACGUUCCCGGGCCUUGUACACACCGCCCGUCACACCAUGGGAGUUUGUUGCACCAGAAGUAGGUAGUCUAACCGCAAGGAGGACGCUUACCACGGUGUGGCCGAUGACUGGGGUGAAGUCGUAACAAGGUAAGCGUAGAUGA
rnacentral:rRNA from 1 species